AUCAAGACCCUACGCCCAGUCAGUAGUACCGAGGAAGUAGUACCAGUCAGUAGUACUGAGGAAGUAGUACCAGUCAGUAGUACUGAGGAAGUAGUACCAGUCAGUAGUACCGAGGAAGUAGUACCAGUCAGUAGUACUGAGGAAGGAGCGGUGAAUGAAUGAAUACAUCAAUGAGUGAAUGAAAGAAUGAAGUGGGAUAUCUGAAUCUAUAACAAUUAUUAAAUCAUUUUCUCUUCUCCUUUUCAUGACUUAAAGGGCUUUUUUUUUUUACCCUUGUUAAAAUACAGUCCUGUCACAAUUAAAAUUGUUUGUUUGUUUGAUAAUUGGUUUGAUUUGGGUUUUUGUUUGUUAGUUUGUUUCUUGUCCACCCAAUUUUAUUAUUUAGAAAGAAGUUUCAGAGCUUACUUUUUUAAACUGAUUUGAAUAUCCUAUUGUUUUGAAAAGAGGAAGGCUAUUCUCAAUGCAUUCAAUGCAUCUAACACAAUAUUUUACUUUUUUAUAAUGCAUAUUUAAGUGAUUGAUGUUUUUCAUUGAGUGUCCAAUUUUAACACAAUAAUGAUUUAACUUUUUUAAUGAAUACAGCUCUCAAAAGUCUAUAAGAUAAUUUGUCAGUCACUAACUUGCUUACUAUACACAGCCAAUUUCUAACCCUCUUGGUCACUUCACCUCGUCAGCCUUGUGGUUAGGGUCCUGUGUAUAAAAUAAAAGACAACACAAAUGUAAUACCAUUUCUUGCUUGUAAGUCAUUAAUCAUGUCAUGGGAUGUGUGUACUGAUGGUUUUUAAAAACACCUUUUCGGUUCAAUUUAUAUUAUUAUGAAUAGGAUACCAUACAUUUUAUAUUUAAUGGUUUUUAAAUAUGAAUAUAUGUGGAUUCUUUAAUUACACUAAAGUAAUAGAGGGACAUUGGUUUGAGAAAUGAGAGGCCUAAACCUAAUUAUGGAUUGUAUAUGAAGUUUGGGAAUUAUGUGGAAAUCCAUAAAUAUAUAUGAAUUAUAUAUUUAUGUUAUAUAAAUCUUGCAUAUGUAUGUAUAUAUAUAUAUAUGUAUGUAUGUAUUUGUGUGCACAUAUAUAUGUAUGUAUACUUAGAACUAGACAUUACCAAGAUUGCUUUACAUGUCUCAUUUCAGUAUUUUUCAAUUUUCUUACAGAUUUAGUAAUGUCCUGUAAGGUUAACUCUGAAUGUAGUAUGUAAGUGAGAAUAGAAAUAAAAGAAAGUAAUCGAUGGCU
rnacentral:lncRNA from 1 species